CGGGCUAUGGCGCAGUUGGUAGCGCGCUUGCAUGGGGUGCAAGAGGCCGUGGGUUCAAGUCCCGCUAGCCCGA
rfam:Parcubacteria (Thrbacteria) bacterium GW2011_GWF2_41_16 TT48_C0002, whole genome shotgun sequence.